GACGAACGCUGGCGGCGUGCUUAACACAUGCAAGUCGAACGAAGUGGCGAACGGGUGAGUAACGCGUAAUCAACCUGCCCUGCAGAGGGGGACAACUGGUAGAAACGACUGCUAAUGCCACAUACUGAAGGAGGGGAUUGCGGCUGAUUAGCUAGUUGGCGGGGUAACGGCCAACCAAGGCCAUGAUCAGUAGCCGGUCUGAGAGGAUGAACGGCCACAUUGGGACUGAGACACGGCCCAGACUCCUACGGGAGGCAGCAGUGGGGAAUCUUCCGCAAUGGACGAAAGUCUGACGGAGCAACGCCGCGUGAGUGAUGACGGCCUUCGGGUUGUAAAGCUCUGUUAAUCGGGACGCGGUACCGGAAUAGAAAGCCACGGCUAACUACGUGCCAGCAGCCGCGGUAAUUC
rnacentral:rRNA from 1 species